AUUGAACGCUGGCGGCAUGCCUUACACAUGCAAGUCGAACGGCAGCACGGGAGCAAUCCUGGUGGCGAGUGGCGAACGGGUGAGUAAAGUAUCGGAACGUGCCCAGUCGUGGGGGAUAACGUAGCGAAAGUUACGCUAAUACCGCAUACGAUCUAUGGAUGAAAGCGGGGGAUCGCAAGACCUCGCGCGAUUGGAGCGGCCGAUAUCAGAUUAGGUAGCUGGUGGGGUAAAGGCUCACCAAGCCGACGAUCUGUAGCUGGUCUGAGAGGACGACCAGCCACACUGGGACUGAGACACGGCCCAGACUCCUACGGGAGGCAGCAGUGGGGAAUUUUGGACAACGGGCGAAAGCCUGAUCCAGCCAUGCCGCGUGCAGGAUGAAGGCCUUCGGGUUGUAAACUGCUUUUGUACGGAACGAAAAGGUUUGGCCUAAUAAGCUGAGCUCAUGACGGUACCGUAAGAAUAAGCACCGGCUAACUACGUGCCAGCAGCCGCCGUAA
rnacentral:rRNA from 1 species